rnacentral:rRNA from 1 species
GAUGAACGCUGGCGGCGUGCCUAAUACAUGCAAGUCGAACGAAUCACUUCGGUGGUUAGUGGCGGACGGGUGAGUAACGCGUGAGGAACCUGCCCUUCAGAGGGGGACAACAGUUGGAAACGACUGCUAAUACCGCAUGAAGUACAAUAGGGACAUCCCGAUUGUACCAAAGGAGCAAUCCGCUGAGGGAUGGCCUCGCGUCCGAUUAGAUAGUUGGUGGGGUAACGGCCCACCAAGUCGACGAUCGGUAGCCGGACUGAGAGGUUGAACGGCCACAUUGGGACUGAGACACGGCCCAGACUCCUACGGGAGGCAGCAGUGGGGGAUAUUGCACAAUGGGGGAAACCCUGAUGCAGCAACGCCGCGUGAAGGAAGAAGGCCUUCGGGUUGUAAACUUCUUUUAGCAGGGACGAAUACGUGACGGUACCUGCAGAAAAAGCAACGGCUAACUACGUG